rnacentral:rRNA from 1 species
UGGGGAAUAUUGGACAAUGGGGGCAACCCUGAUCCAGCAAUGCCGCGUGAGUGAAGAAGGCCUUCGGGUUGUAAAACUCUUUUGUUAGGGACGAUGAUGACGGUACCUAACGAAUAAGCACCGGCUAACUUCGUGCCAGCAGCCGCGGUAAUACGAAGGGUGCUAGCGUUGUUCGGAAUGACUGGGCGUAAAGGGUGUGUAGGCGGUUAGACACGUCAGAUGUGAAAUCCCCGGGCUUAACCUGGGAAUGGCAUUUGAUACGGUCUAGCUAGAGAUUGGUAGAGGGUAGUGGAAUUGCGAGUGUAGAGGUGAAAUUCGUAGAGAUUCGCAGGAACACCGGUGGCGAAGGCGGCUACCUGGGCCAAUACUGACGCUGAGGCACGAAAGCGUGGGGAGCAAACAGG